CUACGGGAUGCUCCAGUGGGGAAUAUUGCACAAUGGGCGCAAGCCUGAUGCAGCCAUGCCGCGUGUAUGAAGAAGGCCUUCGGGUUGUAAAGUACUUUCAGCGGGGAGGAAGGGAGUAAAGUUAAUACCUUUGCUCAUUGACGUUACCCGCAGAAGAAGCACCGGCUAACUCCGUGCCAGCAGCCGCGGUAAUACGGAGGGUGCAAUCGUUAAUCGUAAUUACUGGGCGUAAAGCGCACGCAGGCGGUUUGUUAAGUCAGAUGUGAAAUCCCCGGGCUCAACCUGGGAACUGCAUCUGAUACUGGCAAGCUUGAGUCUCGUAGAGGGGGGUAGAAUUCCAGGUGUAGCGGUGAAAUGCGUAGAGAUCUGGAGGAAUACCGGUGGCGAAGGCGGCCCCCUGGACGAAGACUGACGCUCAGGUGCGAAAGCGUGGGGAGCAAACAGGAUUAGAUACCCGUGUAGUC
rnacentral:rRNA from 1 species